rnacentral:rRNA from 1 species
AUACGUAGGUCUCGAGCGUUGUCCGGAUUUAUUGGGCGUAAAGCGAGCGCUAGGCGGUUAUUUAAGUCUGAAGUUAAAGGCCGUGGCUCAACCAUGGUUCGCUUUGGAAACUGGAUAACUUGAGUGCAGAAGGGGAGAGUGGAAUUCCAUGUGUAGCGGUGAAAUGCGUAGAUAUAUGGAGGAACACCGGUGGCGAAAGCGGCUCUCUGGUCUGUAACUGACGCUGAGGCUCGAAAGCGUGGGGAGC